GGCGGGAGCUAAUGUCCACAGGCAGUGCCAGCAAUAUGCCAAAUGCACCAAGCACCAAGGCAAAGCCACAAGGCUGCAGAUGACUUGUUUUGUGCUAAACCUCAAUAGACUUUCUUUUGUCAGGACCAUGCAAAGAGUGAAACACCAGCUAUUCAAGGAUGUAGAUGAAAGUUGCUCCCCAAAACUAAGAGUGGUGUGAAUUAUAUUUAGUCCCUGUCUCCAAGGGUUUAUAAAGAUAAUUUAAAAUGCCUUUGAGAUGACAAAAGUUAAGACUCAUCAUUUUACUUAGAUUUGCAUCCUACCGUUAUAAUUUUAGGCUCCCUCAUAAUCCUACUAACAUUUUACUCUCUCGGUACUAUUUUUCAUUAAUUCAUCAAUUUCAUUUCAUCCUGGCUAGGUUCUUUCCUCACUUCAUUCCCAGCAUGCACUUGUACAUGCUGUACACUCCACUCUCUUCAGUACCAGGACAGGACUACAAAUUCUUUAGAGAAUGUACAGCCAAACAAGGUGACUUACCGCCUGCCAAGAGAGCUUAUGAAGAGAUUUCAUUUCUUGGGCAUCCAGGAGCAAGUGGCUGAUAGAAGUGCACCCUGAGGAGAGACUGAUGGAAUGGAAACAGCCUGGACAAGACUCAAACAGCAAGUAACAGGGGGCAUAUGGUUUGGAUAGAGUGGAGAAGUGCAUAGAGCCUGCCCAGUCGAGGCUUACAGCCUGUAAAUAAAACACCGGGCUGUUGUGUCUUAUAUAUGGGCAAACUAGAAUAAAUAAUUCAUUUACAGAGAUUGGUGGAGGCCUGACCGGCUCUAAGCAUGGGAUACAGACCCAGUGGAGGUGUCUGGGAGGCCAGCAACAGAGUAUUAAGAAGGGCUAUUUAGGGGAGAAAGGCAGCCUCUACCUCUUUAGUCACUAGGACUAAAUGAUAGGGACUGAGGGAUAGAUACAGAUGUUUUCCAGAUCUGUGUGUCUCUCAGAGGCCAUCUUAUCAACCUUUGAAAUCCUUUUGGUCACAGAUUUUAGGUAAUUCUACACCCACAGUGUUAGCCACAAGUGGCUCAUUGAGGACUGAGUGUAUGCUAUCUCCAGUUGAGUAUAGUGGCUGAUGCCUGUGUUCUUAACACUUGGGAGGCUGAGGCAGGAGGAUUACAAGUUUAAAGCAAGUAUGGGCUACAUAAUGAGUUCUAGACUAGAUUGUGCUACAGAGUGAGAUCCUAUUUUAAAACCAAUCAAACAACAAUCCAGAUCAAACCAAAUGAAACCGACCCAUUUCAAGGUAUAUCUGCCUCGACCCAACAGAGGUUCUUAUUCUUGGCUCCUUAAGCAUUCCUGGACAAUGGAAAGUUUCUACUAUGAAAACUUGCACACAAAAAUGGAAUCUUUCCUGGCACGGUCUAUUAAAAUGGAGCCAAGAAGCCUCUUAGGUCCCAGCUGCCUGCUUCAGGGAAUAUCUUUUCAGCCCAAGCCAAUGAAACAGCUGGCAUAACUUUACAUUGCAACUGACGAUGGCCGUGACUUUGUUCUUAUGCUUAACUGCUGCCACUGGACAAUCAGUGCUUGCUAGCUUUGACCACCCAAUACAGAGAUUCCUUUCAAAACAACACAUGGCCUUCUCUGUCCUAAUAAAACCUAAGUCUUUUCAUGCUCUUUAAUAUAACAGACUCCACUUUGGCCUACACACACACAUGCCCCAAUUGGCAAGUCUAUUUUGAGUUGUUUAUUCUGAACUAGAAUUUUUUUUUAAUUGGCUCUGCAUUUUUUCUUACUCUGGCAACACCCAUAAAAACCCCAUUAUUUUCUAAGGAAGAGAGGCCCAUUCUAGUUAUUUUAAAGAGAAGCUUUGCAGUCCUGGUCUCUGGCUGCACUGCCCCAGCAUUGCCCCAUUCUAGGCUCUAGAACACCCAUCUCCUCCAGAGCUCCCAUGAGCUCUUUUUUAACUUCUGGAAUUCCCCAGAGGCUGAUUUCUUGUUUCCUUCACUCUUGGAGUCUGGCCUUUUCUGUUGGGUUCAAUUCUGGGAAUCUUCUCACUCCUUAACCCCAGCCAGGCCUGGAAUCCUAGAUGCCAGCCACUCCCACACAAUAGACGUCUUCAGUUAGGAAGCCCAGCUCCUCUUGCUGCCAGCCUGGGUUUGGCUGAUAUUGGGAUGGCUUGCCCUUGUCUCCAGUUGUGUCUUUCAAAUGCAUGUGUACCUACCACCUACCAGGCUGUGUGCUUCUUCCUGAACAACUCAGACAGACAGACAGACAUCCGUCCUGUCUGCCUUUCUUCCCUCCACAUCCCAGCUUACAGACUUUCCCACCUAUCCACCAGCUUGGCCUGGGUGAGCAGUCUUUGUUAAACCUCCUUUCUUUCCCUGGGGGCCUUUAAGGUGGGAGUAAAAAUAAACUUUGACUGGGCUUCUCUGGAAUCUUGCUGUGCUGUGUUUUCCUUUAGAGUUUAUUUUAAGGGAUUUUUAAGAGUCGAUUUAAAUGUUUACUCAGGAUCCAUAGGAAGGAAAGGAACCCUUUCCAAAGCGUGGAGGCAUCAGCCCCGGCCCCAAGAGCCUCCAUGCUCAUCCCUCAGGGCUCAGUGCAGCAGGCUUCUAGCUCAAAGACCCUUGUCUAACCCUCAUCUGGUACCUCCUUGGUGCCGUCAGUACCUUAGCCCUAAGCACACUAGUUUAACCUUCAGGCUGUGGAGUACAGAAGACAGCAUCUUGCCUCAGUUAAAGAAAACAAGUAAUGAAAACCAGAAACCGUGAGACUGAAAGCCAGCAAUUAGUAUUUCUCAAAAAAAAAAAAAAAAAAAAACCAAAAAACAAAAAACCCACCAACAACAGCAAUAACAUCAAGAAUAAUCUAAAAAACCUGACUCAGCCUUAUUUUAUCUGCAGUGGAUGAAUGAAUGAUUUUUUUAAAAAUCCAUCCAGUAUAUACUGGUCACCCCCUGCCCCUAAAACACAUACACACACACACACACACACACACACACACACACACACACACACCUAGUUUGAUCCCUAGCUGGUAGAACUGUUUUAGGAGACUUAGGAGGUGUGGCCUUGUUUGAGGAAGUAUGUCACUGGAGAUAAGCUUUUGAGAAUGUAAAGACCAUGCCAUUUCAAGUUAGCUCUCUGUUCUGUGCUUGUGGUUCAGGGUGCGAACUCUCAGCUCCUGCUGUAGCCACCAUGUCUGCCACGUCUGCUACCUCUGUUCUCUGCCAUGGACUCUAUCCCUCUGGAUCAUAAGCCCAAAUAAACUCCUUCUUCUGUAGGUUGCCUUGGUCAUGGUGUUUCAUCCCAGCCAUAGGAAAAUAACCGAUACAGGGUCUAACUACGUAGCUCUGGCUGCUCAAGAACCCACUAUAUAGACAUCAGGCUGGCUUCAAACUUACAGAAAACUUAUGGCUCAGCCCUUGAACUCCAGUGAUGGGAUUAAAAGUAGGCACCACACCUGGCCCCUGCUCAGCUUUUUGAUAAUUUUCAUACCCAGGUCACGUUUAGGUAAAAAUUAUUCAGAAUUCAAAAUAUGUACCUUCACUUGGACCACACUAGGAGACACCAGAGAAGCAAUAAGGCAGUCACAGAAGCCCAGACCUCUGCUGAACAUGCACGCGUGUGCUAGUGUCCCAAGUGCAUAGGAAUUGCUGGCACAUUCACAGACCCCAUAUGACCAUAAAUCAUGUAGGAAAAACACCUGGUGACUUCUUUAAAACAUUAGUACUUUUAAGCAUUUGAAGACAUUGAACUUAGGAAGACACAAAAUGGAGAAAUUCUGGAAAUGGAAUAUCUAGGUAAGAAAACAGGAACUACAGAUGCAAGCAUCCCCUAUAAAAUACAAGAGAUGGAAAAGAGAAUCACAGGACUGAAGUUACAAUGAAAUGUAUCCAUCAGAAAUGUUGAAUUCCAAACAUCCCUGAUACAAAACAACAGGAAGC
rnacentral:lncRNA from 1 species